AUUGAACGCUGGCGGCGUGCUUUACACAUGCAAGUCGGACGAGUGGCGGACGGGUGAGUAAUGCUUGGGAAUCUAGCUUAUGGAGGGGGAUAACUACGGGAAACUGUAGCUAAUACCGCGUACCAUAGGAUGAGCCCAAGUGGGAUUAGGUAGUAGGUGGGGUAACGGCUCACCUAGGCGACGAUCCCUAGCUGGUCUGAGAGGAUGACCAGCCACACUGGAACUGAGACACGGUCCAGACUCCUACGGGAGGCAGCAGUGGGGAAUAUUGCACAAUGGGCGCAAGCCUGAUGCAGCCAUGCCGCGUGUGUGAAGAAGGCCUUCGGGUUGUAAAGCACUUUCAGCGGGGAGGCGUUACCCGCAGAAGAAGCACCGACUAACUCCGUGCCAGCCGCCGCGGUAAUAC
rnacentral:rRNA from 1 species